rnacentral:rRNA from 1 species
AACGUAGGUGGCAAGCGUUAUCCGGAUUUACUGGGCGUAAAGCGUGUGCAGGCGGGGGUACAAGUGGUGUAUGAAAUUUCCCAGCUUAACUGGGAAGGGUUAUGCCAGACUGUACUUCUGGAGUGCGAGAGAGGGGCGUGGAAUUCCGGGUGUAGUGGUGAAAUGCGUAGAGAUCCGGAGGAACCCCAGAGGCGAAGGCGGCGCCCUGGCUCGCAACUGACGCUAAGGCGCGAAAGCGUGGGGAGCGAACAGG